rnacentral:rRNA from 1 species
UACGAAGGGGGCUAGCGUUGUUCGGAUUUACUGGGCGUAAAGCGCCCGUAGGCGGAUCUUUAAGUCAGGGGUGAAAUCCCGAGGCUCAACCUCGGAACUGCCUUUGAUACUGGGGAUCUCGAGUCCGGGAGAGGUGAGUGGAACUGCGAGUGUAGAGGUGAAAUUCGUAGAUAUUCGCAAGAACACCAGUGGCGAAGGCGGCUCACUGGCCCGGUACUGACGCUGAGGUGCGAGAGCGUGGGGAGCAAACAGG